rnacentral:rRNA from 1 species
UGAAGUGGAAAAGCUCAAAUUUAAAAUCUGAUAGUCUUUAUGGCUGUCCGAAUUGUAAUCUAGAGAAGUGCUAUCAGUGCUGGACCAUGUAUAAGUCUCCUGGAAUGGAGUGUCAUAGAGGGUGAGAAUCCCGUACUUGACAUGGACUACCAGUGCAAUGUGAUGUGCUCUCAAAGAGUCGAGUUGUUUGGGAAUGCAGCUCAAAAUGGGUGGUAAAUUCCAUCUAAAGCUAAAUAUUGGCAAGAGACCGAUAGCGAACAAGUACCGUGAGGGAAAGAUGAAAAGAACUUUGGAAAGAGAGUUAAACAGUACGUGAAAUUGUUGAAAGGGAAACACUUGAAGUCAGUCACAUUAAUCAGAGAUCAAUCCUGUUACUAUUGCAGGGUGUAUUCUCUGUAUUUAAUGGGUCAGCAUCAAUUUUGACUGUUGGAAAAAGGUUAAGGAAAUGUAGCAUCAAUUAGAUGUGUUAUAGUCCUUAGUUGUAUACAGCAGUUGGGAUUGAGGAACUCAGCAUGCUUUUUGGCAGGGUUAUUAUAACCACAUUCAUGCUUAGGAUGCUGACAAAAUGGCUUUAAUUGACCCGUCUUGAAACACGGACCAAGGAGUCUAACAUACCUGCGAGUGUUUGGGUGGAAAACUCAAGCGCAUAAUGAAAGUAAAAGUUGAGAUCCCUUGUAAUAAGGGGGAGCAUCGACACCCAGACCAGAACUUUUGUGACGGAUCUGCGGUAGAGCAUGUAUGCUGGGACCCGAAAGAUGGUGAACUAUGCCUGAAUAGGGUGAAGCCAGAGGAAACUCU